rnacentral:rRNA from 1 species
UACGUAGGCAGCAAGCGUUGUUCGGAAUUACUGGGCGUAAAGCGAGUGUAGGCGGUUCGAUAAGUUUGGUGUGAAAUCUCCCGGCUCAACUGGGAGGGUGCGCCGAAGACUGUCGAGCUAGAGUGUGGGAGAGGUAGGCGGAAUUCCUGGUGUAGCGGUGAAAUGCGUAGAUAUCAGGAGGAACACCGGUGGCGAAGGCGGGUCUCUGGGCCGAUACUGACGCUGAGGAGCGAAAGCGUGGGGAGCGAACAGG